rnacentral:tRNA from 1 species
AAGAGGAAUAAUCCAUAAAUAGAUUUACAAUCUAACACCUUUCUCAGCCAUCUUACUAAAA